rnacentral:rRNA from 1 species
UAAGUUGAUAGUGAAAGCGUGCGGCUCAACCGCAUACACAUUAUCAAAACUGCCAAGCUAGAGGACGAGAGAGGUCACUGGAAUUCCUAGUGUAGGAGUGAAAUCCGUAGAUAUUAGGAGGAACACCGAUGGCGUAGGCAGGUGACUGGCUCGUUCCUGACACUAAGGCACGAAAGCGUGGGUAGCAAACGGGAUUAGAUACCCCGGUAGUCCACGCCGUAAACUAUGGAUGCUA